rnacentral:lncRNA from 1 species
AAAACAAAGUCAAUUCGAAGAUCAUGAACAGUGCACUUUCACGGGAGUUUAGAAUCUAGGUUUUCCGAAGUAAAACUUACCUGAAAUUGGUGUCUACGUGAUUGUGGAGUCUCCAGGAGUUCGAUGGUGGUCUUAACUCCGUCGUUGGUGGAAGUUUAAGGUUGUUUUGUGGUUGGUUUGUUCGAACGGAGAAGAAGAGUGACAGAGAGAGAGAGAUUCGUGAGGGAGGAGAGAGAGAGACAGUAUGCAGAAAAUAGGGAGAGGAUUGAGGGGGUGUGGGGAUCCCACGUGUCCAACUCAAUCCAAAUUGUUAAAUUUUCGCCCCUUAGUCCCGUUUAAGGGCAUUUUCGUCUUUUCAUGUCCUCGGAAUUAAAAUUCCGGGACGGGCUGUGACAU